GAUGAACGCUGGCGGCGUGCCUAAUACAUGCAAGUCGAGCGAACAGACGAGGAGCUUACUCCUCUGACGUUAGCGGCGGACGGGUGAGUAACACGUGGAUAACCUACCUAUAAGACUGGGAUAACUUCGGGAAACCGGAGCUAAUACCGGAUAACAUGGUGAACCGCAUGGUUCAACAGUGAAAGACGGUCUUGCUGUCACUUAUAGAUGGAUCCGCGUCGCAUUAGCUAGUUGGUAAGGUAACGGCUUACCAAGGCAACGAUGCGUAGCCGACCUGAGAGGGUGAUCGGCCACACUGGAACUGAGACACGGUCCAGACUCCUACGGGAGGCAGCAGUAGGGAAUCUUCCGCAAUGGGCGAAAGCCUGACAGAGCAACGCCGCGUGAGUGAAGAAGGUCUUCGGAUCGUAAAACUCUGUUAUUAGGGAAGAACAAAUGUGUAAGUAACUAUGCACGUCUUGACGGUACCUAAUCAGAAAGCCACGGCUAACUACGUG
rnacentral:rRNA from 1 species